AAUGCCGAUGAUGAUCAAACAUAGACCUGUAAUGAUAGCGGAGAUGACCGCAAAAAUCAUAACAUCUAAGGGGCUGAGGCAUA